UACGAAGGGGGCGAGCGUUGUUCGGAUUUACUGGGCGUAAAGGGCGUGCAGGCGGCGAGUUUUGUCAGGCGUGACAGCCCCGGGCUCCACCUGGGAACUGCGCUUGAAACGGGCUUGCUAGAGAUCGGGAGAGGAGAGUGGAAUUCCCAGUGUAGAGGUGAAAUUCGUAGAUAUUGGGAAGAACACCAGUGGCGAAGGCGGCUCUCGGGACCGACACUGACGCUGAGGCGCGAAAGCUAGGGGAGCAAACAGG
rnacentral:rRNA from 1 species